CCCAUUUCCAGCUGCCCCCGCCCCAUCAGCCUGAAUCACACCAUGACUCUCCCAGCAAGCUUUAAUAAAGAGGAGAGGGCAUCUGCCCAGACUCGCGCUGCUCCUCCUGGCCCCAAGGGCUAGGGCCAGGGUCACCUGCUCCUCCACAUCUUCCCCAAGGAAGGCACUGGAUGCCGCCAGCAGGCCUGCAGCAUGCCUGCCUUGACCCCCCCAGGCCUCUGCUUGACACCUCUGGAAUGCUGAUCAUGUCAAGAUCAUCAGCUACAACAGGGAAGGGUCCAGGCACAAAUACUCAUUUGUUCACCAAUGAACAUGUCUCACCUGGUAGGGGCUCAAUGUUUGCUGAACAGGUGAGGAAUCCUGCCCCACCAACACUGUGUGAGACCAGAAAGGAGAGGCCCACCCACUGUGCCCUGGAGGUUGGGAGGUAUGGCGGGAAUGGUUCAGAAAAGAGCCUAUUCUGUAGUCAAACAGA